rnacentral:rRNA from 1 species
UAAAAGUUAUUUAUUAAUUAUUUUUUUUUAUUUAUAUUUAUUAAUAAAAAUAAUUUUAAAUAUUUUAGUUUUAGUAAUUUAUAAUGAAAUAAUAAUUUUAAUUAUAGUGUAUUAGUAUUUUAUAAGAAUAUUGAAAUAAUUUGAAAAAUUUUUAAAUUUAAAGAAAAUUUAAUUUAUUGUACCUUGUGUAUCAGGGUUUAUUAAUUAAUUAAUUAUUAUAUUAAUUUUUCUCGAAUUUUAAAGAUUUAAUUAUAUAUAAAAGUUAUUGUGGAAUAACUAUUUUUAAUAUAUAAUUAGAAAUGAAAUGUUAAUCGUUUUAAAAUAUAUCUAGUUUUUUAAGAAAUAAAUUUAAUUUAGUUUAAUUAUUUUAUUAAGUUUAUUUUUAAUAAUUUAAUAAAUAAUUAAAAUAAUAUUUUAAGGGAUUAGCUUUAAAAUAAAUUUUUAUAUUUUUUUUUAAUUUAAAAUAAAUAUAAGCUUAAUAAUAGCUAAUAUUAAUAAAUUUGUUAUAAUUUAUUUUUUGGAUUAAAUUAUUUAGUUUAAAUUAAGUUAUUUAUUAAAAUAUAAAUUUUAAUAAUAAAAAUUUAAAAAUUAUGAUAAAAUUAGUAUAUAGACCUCGAUGAUAUAAUUAAUUGUUAUUUUUAGGUGUAGAAGUUUAAAGUUUAGGUCUGUUCGACCUUUAGAUUCUUACAUGAUCUGAGUUCAAACCGGCGUAAGUCUGAGCCUGCCCACUGAAGUUUAAAGGGCCGCGGUAUUUUGACCGUGCGAAGGUAGCAUAAUCAAUAGUCUUUUAAUUGAAGGCUGGUAUGAAUGGUUGAAUGAGAUAUAUACUGUUUUUUUAAAAUUUAAAUAGAAUUUUAUUUUUUAGUUAAAAAGCUAAAAUAUAAUUAAAGGACGAGAAGACCCUAUAGAUCUUUAUUUUUAUAAAUUAUAAAUUAUAAAGAAUAUUAAAAUUUAUAUUUUAAAUAAAAUUUUACUGGGGUGGUAUUAAAAUUUAUUAAACUUUUAUUAUAAUUUAACAUUGAUAUAUGAAUAUAAGAUCCUGUAUUAUGGAUUAAAAAUUUAAGUUACCUUAGGGAUAACAGCGUAAUUUUUUUGAAGAGUUCAUAUCGAUAAAAAAGAUUGCGACCUCGAUGUUGGAUUAAGAGUUAUUUUUAGGUGUAGAAGUUUAAAGUUUAGGUCUGUUCGACCUUUAGAUUCUUACAUGAUCUGAGUUCAAACCGGCGUAAGCCAGAGCCUGGCCUCUGAAGUUUAAAUGGCCGCGGUAUUUUGACCGUGCGAAGGUAGCAUAAUCAAUAGUCUUUUAAUUGAAGGCUGGUAUGAAUGGUUGAAUGAGAUAUAUUAAUAUUUAUU